GUGGGGAAUAUUGGACAAUGGGCGAAAGCCUGAUCCAGCCAUGCCGCGUGUGUGAAGAAGGUCUUCGGAUUGUAAAGCACUUUAAGUUGGGAGGAAGGGCAUUAACCUAAUACGUUAGUGUUUUGACGUUACCGACAGAAUAAGCACCGGCUAACUUCGUGCCAGCAGCCGCGGUAAUACGAAGGGUGCAAGCGUUAAUCGGAAUUACUGGGCGUAAAGCGCGCGUAGGUGGUUUUGUAAGUUGGAGGUGAAAUCCCCGGGCUCAACCUGGGAACUGCCUCCAAAACUGCAUGACUAGAGUACGGUAGAGGGUAGUGGAAUUUCCUGUGUAGCGGUGAAAUGCGUAGAUAUAGGAAGGAACACCAGUGGCGAAGGCGACUACCUGGACUGAUACUGACACUGAGGUGCGAAAGCGUGGGGAGCAAACAGGAUUAGAUACCCCUGUAGUCC
rnacentral:rRNA from 1 species